AUGCUGCCCCUCCGGAUGAUGAUAAGCCUGGUAUCCAUCUCUUUGCUUGUUGUGUCCCCUGCAAUGGGCAUACCAACGGACGACAAGUGCAAGUGCCUCAUGUGCGUCUGCGACCUGGAUCCGCACCCGCUGCCGCCGGCAAUGCCGUCGCACCACCCAGCACCUCCUGAGCACGAAUACAAAUACCCUCCACCGUCGGAGCCGGAGCCAGAGCCAGAGCCACGGCCAGAGCCAAAGCCUGAGCCUGAGCCUGAGCCAAAGCCGGAGCCGGAGCCGGAGCCAACGGCACAGUACUACCCGCCUCCUCCGGUGCCUGUGCCGACGCCAGUGUACUACUACCCACCGCCGUCGGAGCCGGAACCAACGCCCGUGUACUACCUUCCACCGCCGGCUGAGCCGUACGAGUACCCGUACGUGCAGCCAGCGCCGGUGUUUGGCAUAGUGGGGACGCCGGGGCAGAUGUACCCGCGUGAUAGCAUGUUCAACCCGUCCAGCGCCCACCGGAAGCUCUGUCGUGGGAUAUCCUCCGUAAUUCUCGCCUCCUCGAUCGUGGCAGCAGGGCUACUGUCACUGCUCAUAUAA
rnacentral:rRNA from 1 species